UACGUAGGGGGCUAGCGUUGUCCGGAAUCAUUGGGCGUAAAGAGCGUGUAGGCGGUCCGGUAAGUCCGCUGUGAAAGUCGGGGGCUCAACCCUCGAAUGCCGGUGGAUACUGUCGGGCUAGAGUGCGGAAGAGGCGAGUGGAAUUCCUGGUGUAGCGGUGAAAUGCGCAGAUAUCAGGAAGAACACCAAUGGCGAAGGCAGCUCUCUGGGACGGUACUGACACUGAGACGCGAAAGCGUGGGGAGCGAACAGG
rnacentral:rRNA from 1 species